rnacentral:tRNA from 1 species
ACCUGGCUGGCUCACUGGGUGGAGCGUGAGACUCUUGAUCUUGUGGUUGUAGGUUUGAGCCCCACAGUGGGUA